rnacentral:rRNA from 1 species
GGGUGCAAUCAUACCAUUAAUAAUGUACCAGAUCUCAUAAGAACUCCGAAGUUAAACUUGCUUGGGUGAGAAUAGUACUAUAAUGGGUGACCUCCUAGGAAAAUGGGUUGCGACGAAAUG